CAACAAGGCCACGGGCCCCCCGGCGCCCCGGCGCUGGAGGGUACCGGCCUGACUUACACACCCACCCUUUGCCUAUGUGUACCCCUAUCGCUUCCUCGGCAGGCCCGCCUGCCGCCAGGAACCACGUAAACCCUUUGCAUCAUACAUCAACUCUGAUACCAACCAAAAACUAUUA
rnacentral:misc_RNA from 2 species